rnacentral:lncRNA from 1 species
GAAAAGAUAAGUGUACUGUGGAAACAGUUAUGAGGCAAACAGGUCUUUCAAAUAAAGGUGUUCUCCAUGAGGCAACAACAAAAGCAUUCUAUCCAUGGCAAAGUUUAGCUCAAGAAUAUUAAAACAAGAAAAAUUUUGAGAUUAAUACUAAAAAUUUAACUUUUCCGCUUUUGACCUUUGAGAUAGGAAUUAUUCACAGAGGACCUGCUCCUUUGUUGGCUCAUAGCUGUUUUUUCUUGCAUUUUGACCUAGCUGCUGGUAUCUCUGCCUCUCAUCUUCUCCAGAGCAAACAGCUGCACAGUGCUUUCAAAUGCAGGAGGCUGCCUCAUGAGUCUGUUCCCAGCCCAGAUAUGUGUCUUGUUCCAAGCUGGCCACUGACUUCUUAAAUAGUUCCUGCAGCAGUGCUCUGGCAUGUGCCUUGGCUAUUGAUUUCAAGGAGCAGAAGUUCAUGGCUUUCAGCAUUAACCUUCUAAAUUUUCUGCUUGUGGAAGACCGCCUCAAGGCAAUAAGGAAAGCUGGAAGAGCUAGUCCCCUUCUGGCAAGGUACUGAAGAGGACCCAAGCAUUGGAGUGAGAAAGCUCCUGCUUGGGAUUCUCUGACCAAAUCUGAGAAGAUUUGAGAUGUGAAUGAAAGUGACAGAGCAAAAGGAAAUGAAGUAUUAACAUGAAGGCUAAUCAAGCAAGUUUGCUUUCCAAAGUCUAUUGAAGUAUGGAACAUAUACUUUGAAGAUCCGAGAACAGUAAAGGCUUAGGACAGCAGUGGCAGAAAGAAAGCUUUCUGACUAGUAAACUGAGUGACUACACAUGAAGUCAUGGAAAUAAAAACAAGAAACAUAUGUAUGUAUGCACGAAAAGAUAUAAAGAAAAAAGAAGACUUCAGCAGGCGCAGAGGCAAAAUUGAAAUUACUCCUUUUGUUUUAAUGCUAAAACAUCUGAGUGAGUUGCAGUCAUCCUUUGGUAGUCUUCAGAGACUCCAGCACAUGUGUGGCCUGUUAGCAACAUGCAUUGAGUAG